UGAAAUGAGACAAUUCUACCAAAAAGCUUUGCCUCUGUAAUGCAAUCUGAUGGACAUCGAGGUUUAAGGCAUUGAAGCACUAUGAGGAGCUAUUUCCUAUUAUAUCCCAGAGACAGCUAGAUCAUUUCAGCAUGUGAUUUAGGUACUGCUGAAAAUACUGACAUACUGGCCUGUGGAGAGCAAAACUGAAGGACCAUUGGGAAAUAUGAACUAAAACUUCUUGAAAAAUAUUUAUCAUUUACUAGUUGAAG